rfam:Schistosoma mansoni strain Puerto Rico chromosome 1, complete genome
UCAAAUAACUCCGCCUGUGACUCUUCUAGAGUUACUGCCGGUCCCAAGCCCGGGUAAAGGAGGAGGGUUGA